GACGAACGCUGGCGGCGUGCUUAACACAUGCAAGUCGAACGGAAAGGCCCUGCUUUUGUGGGGUGCUCGAGUGGCGAACGGGUGAGUAACACGUGAGUAACCUGCCCUUGACUUUGGGAUAACUUCAGGAAACUGGGGCUAAUACCGGAUAGGAGCUCCUGCUGCAUGGUGGGGGUUGGAAAGUUUCGGCGGUUGGGGAUGGACUCGCGGCUUAUCAGCUUGUUGGUGGGGUAGUGGCUUACCAAGGCUUUGACGGGUAGCCGGCCUGAGGGGGUGACCGGCAACAUUGGGACGGAGAUACGGCCCAGACUCCUACGGGAGGAAGCGGUGAGGAAUAUUGACCAAUGGGGUGAAGCCUGAUCCAGCAACGCCGCGUGUGGGUUGACGGACUUCGGGUUGUAACCCGCUUUCGCCUGUGACGAAGCGUGAGUGAGGGUAUUGGGUAAAGAAGCACCGGCUAACUACGUG
rnacentral:rRNA from 1 species